CAGGCACAAAGGUUUGAGUCCUUUUCCUAUCAGCAAGUUUAGAGCCUUGUGGUGUACAACAUGUUAGAUUG
rnacentral:tRNA from 1 species